CACGGGGUUGCGAGCGUUGUCCGGAAUUACUAGGCGUAAAGGGCAGGCAGGCGGAUCCAUAAGUUUAUCGUUUAAGGCGUCGUCUUAACCGGCGUAGGGCGGUAGAUACUGUGGAUCUGGAAUGCGGUUGGGGAAGACAGAAUUCCUGGUGUAGCGGUGGAAUGCGCAGAGAUCAGGAGGAAUACCGAAGGCGAAGGCAGUCUUCCAAGCCGUUAUUGACGCUCAACUGCGAAGGUGUGGGUAUCAAACAGGAUUAGAUACCCUGGUAGUCCCUGA
rnacentral:rRNA from 1 species